rnacentral:rRNA from 1 species
GACGAACGCUGGCGGCGUGCUUAACACAUGCAAGUCGAACGGAAAGGCCCUUCGGGGUACUCGAGUGGCGAACGGGUGAGUAACACGUGGGUGAUCUGCCCUGCACUUUGGGAUAAGCCUGGGAAACUGGGUCUAAUACCGAAUAGGACCACGCGCUUCAUGGUGUGUGGUGGAAAGCUUUUGCGGUGUGGGAUGGGCCCGCGGCCUAUCAGCUUGUUGGUGGGGUAAUGGCCUACCAAGGCGACGACGGGUAGCCGGCCUGAGAGGGUGACCGGCCACACUGGGACUGAGAUACGGCCCAGACUCCUACGGGAGGCAGCAGUGGGGAAUAUUGCACAAUGGGCGCAAGCCUGAUGCAGCGACGCCGCGUGAGGGAUGACGGCCUUCGGGUUGUAAACCUCUUUCAAUAGGGACGAGGCGCAAGUGACGGUACCUAUAGAAGAAGCACCGGCCAACUACGUG